CAUGGACAAGGAUGGCUUCGAGGUGAUACAGCCCCAGUCACCAUCUGACUGCAACUGCCUGAGGAACCCCAAACCACAACCAACUGAGCUGAGUCAACUCCUAGAAUCAUCAGCAAGACAGAUUUUUUUUUUUCAAUUUUAUGGCACUAUUUUGGGGUGGAUUGAUCUAGAAUCCUAUCCCCAAUCUUGGCAGCCCAGGGUCCAUCUCUCUGUUUUUUUGGUUCAUGCUGGGGUCUGCAGAUCUCCAGCUGGGGUAAAGCAUAGCCACAAGUGACCCACUCAGCCCAGACAGAGAGAAAGUAGAGAAAGGGCUGCAUGCAGAGACCUCAGCUUCUGGAGAGGCCUCUGAUCCGCUGUGGGCUCCUGGUACUCCUGUUCCCCACCGAGCCCAUGCUGUCAGCUCUGAGCUGGGCUCCAUAUUUGAUCUUGUUCCAGGGGAAAGUAAGUACUCCCCUCGCUCCUGCCUGCCUCUGAUCAGGCUCCGUAAUCCUAGGGCCCUAAAUUGGUCCUGCCAGAACCUGGUUCAAUGGCCAGUAUUUAAGCUUCGUUCUUCUGCCUUCCAUUGGGAGGUCUGAUAUGUCCCACACACCUCCUACACAGGCAGACAUGUGGGCCAAAACCUUCCAUCCUGCUCCAUGAGGAGGCUCUACCAUCCAGUUGUACAUAAUGUUCUAGAUAGGUAAGUUAAUUAGAUAUCUUGUGUGCAGUUAGACAGGACCAGCCCCCCAGGAGCCAAUACAGCAAGGAACCCACAUGGAGAACAAUUGAGGCACAUUCACUGGUUAGCAUUAUAAAAGGAAGAGGCACUACUUCCCCUAGAGAUAGACAGCAGUGAUUGAUAUUCUAAAUGGGAAAUUCCUUGUAUGGAUUUGUCAUCCCAUUUGACCCCCAUUUAAUCAAUAUUACCUGGGUGAUUGUACUUGUAAUCUUAUUGGUUGGUCAUGGAUUUGUCCCACCUCAUGCCCACCUGUAAACUUCCAUUGGGUCUUAUAGCUUUGUCCCACUUUGUACCCAGCUCACAACAUGGCUGUGCUGUAUAAAAUAUCUUUGAAAAGUGGGGUGAGUGGGCAACCCACUUUCUGGUCCCCCUUCUGUCUCUCUCAGGUAGAAGCUUUCUUUCUCCCAAUAAAGUUUUCUUACUCUUAAUCCCCAUUGUUCCUAGAAUUCAUCCUUCGAUUUUAGAGAACACGAACUCAUGUUUUGGAUAUCUAGUAGGUUUGGGAGUUACAUCUCUUUCCCUUAUAUCAUUUUGGAGGUCUUCCACCGAGAGUACUGGUCAGAGAGGCUGCCAAACUCCGAGGAGUCAUACAAAUGGAAUCAAUGACAAAGACUCAAAGCUAUAUGGCUACCAAGAUGACAAUGCCUGGCGCCUAUCAAGGGCCCUUAGAUAGACCCUCUGGAGAGUAACUCUGACUGCUGAUCACAACUACAACCCUCUUCAGCUGGAAGUAGCCAGAAUGGUCUUUGCCCUUUACCCCCUCACAGCAGUUAGGGGUAUUUCUUCAGAGGGGGAAAUAUUGCAGAUAGGUAAGUUAAUUAGAUAUCUUGUGUGCAGUUAGACAGGACCAGCCCCCCAGGAGCCAAUACAGCAAGGAACCCACAUGGAGAACAAUUGAGGCACAUUCACUGGUUAGCAUUAUAAAAAGAAGAGGCACUACUUCCCCUAGAGAUAGACAGCAGUGAUUGAUAUUCUAAAUGGGAAAUUCCUUGUAUGGAUUUGUCAUCCCAUUUGAUCCCCAUUUAAUCAAUAUUACCUGGGUGACUGUACUUGUAAUCUUAUUGGUUGGUCAUGGUUUUGUCCCACCUCAUGCCCACCUGUAAACUUUCAUUGGGUGUUAUAGCUUUGUCCCACUUUGUACCCGGCUCACAACAUGGCUGUGCUGUAUAAAAUAUCUUUGAAAAGUGGGGUGAGUGGGCAACCCACUUUCUGGUCCCCCUUCUGUCUCUCUCAGGUAGAAGCUUUCUUUCUCCCAAUAAAGUUUUCCUACGCU
ensembl:lncRNA